rnacentral:rRNA from 1 species
CCUGGUUGAUUCUGCCAGUAGUCAUAUGCUUGUCUCAAAGAUUAAGCCAUGCAUGUCUAAGUAUAAGCAAUUAUACGGCGAAACUGCGAAUGGCUCAUUAAAUCAGUUAUCGUUUACUUGAUAGACCCAUACUACGUGGAUAACCGUGGUAAUUCUAGAGCUAAUACAUGCGAAAAACCGCGACUUCGGAAGCGGUGUAUUUAUUAGAUUAAAGACCAAUGCCCUUCGGGGCUGACUGGUGAUUCAUGAUAACUUCACGAAUCGCACGGCCUUGCGCCGGCGAUGGCUCAUUCAAAUUUCUGCCCUAUCAACUUUCGACUUUAGUGUAGUGGACUAAAGUGGUUGCAACGGGUAACGGAGGGUUAGGGCUCGACCCCGGAGAAGGAGCCUGAGAGACGGCUACUACAUCCAAGGAAGGCAGCAGGCGCGCAAAUUACCCAAUCCCGACCCGGGGAGGUAGUGACAAUAAAUACUGAUACAGGGCUCUUUUGGGUCUUGUAAUUGGAAUGAGUACAAUUUAAAUCUCUUAACGAGGAACAAUUGGAGGGCAAGUCUGGUGCCAGCAGCCGCGGUAAUUCCAGCUCCAAUAGCGUAUAUUAAAGUUGUUGUGGUUAAAAAGCUCGUAGUUGAACCUGGGCCUCGCGCAGACCGGUCCGCCUCACCGCGUGCACUGGUCCUGCCGGGGCUUUCACUAGGGGAUUCGCAUGUCCUUCACUGGGCGUGUGCGGAACCUGGACUUUUACUGUGAAAAAGUUAGAGUGUUCAAAGCAGGCCUAUGCUCGAAUACAUUAGCAUGGAAUAAUAGAAUAGGACGUGUGGUUCUAUUUUGUUGGUUAUGGGACCGCCGUAAUGAUUAAUAGGGACAGUCGGGGGCAUCAGUAUUCAAUAGUCAGAGGUGAAAUUCUUGGAUUUAUUGAAGACUAACUACUGCGAAAGCAUUUGCCAAGGAUGUUUUCAUUAAUCAGGAACGAAAGUUAGGGGAUCGAAGACGAUCAGAUACCGUCGUAGUCUUAACCAUAAACUAUGCCGACUAGGGAUCGGGCGAUGUUAUUUUUUGACUCGCUCGGCACCUUACGAGAAAUCAAAGUCUGUGGGUUCCUGGGGGAGUAUGGUGGCAACGCUGAAACUUAAAGAAAUAGACGGAAGGGCACCACCAGGAGUGGAGCCUGCGGCUUAAUUUGACCCAACACGGGGAAACUCACCAGGUCCAGACACAAUGAGGAUUGACAGAUUGAGAGCUCUUUCUUGAUUUUGUGGGUGGUGGUGCAUGGCCGUUCUUAGUUGGUGGAGUGAUUUGUCUGCUUAAUUGCGAUAACGAACGAGACCUUAACCUGCUAAAUAGC